AUGGGGUUGGCCAGCGACAGCGCCGGGUUCCCCUUCUCCGCCAAGCUCUCCGCCGCCAACUCGCCGCGCUUCUGCAACCCCAUGAGCAGGAGGAUAUUUUCAGAUGUUGCUGGCGAUAUAACGGUAUUGGUGGAUGGUCAAUCUUUUCUACUGCACAAGUUCCCUUUAGUCUCUCGGUGCGGAAGAAUACGACGAAUGGUGGCCGAUGCCAAGGAUCCAGAUCUCUCAAAGCUUGAGCUUGUAAAUGUACCAGGGGGAGCUACAUCAUUCGAACUCGCAGCCAAGUUCUGUUAUGGGAGUAACUUUGAAAUAACCACAGCGAAUGUAGCUCAUCUCCGGUGCAUUGCAGAAUAUUUGGAAAUGACAGAAGACUAUCAAGAUGAGAACCUCAUUGUUCGGACAGAGAUGUACCUGAAUGACCUUGUGGUCAAGAACCUUGAGAAAUCUCUACAAGUUUUAUGCGCGUGUGAAGGCUUGGAUCCAAUGGUGGAGGAAAUCGGAUUUGUCGAUAGGUGUGUCGAUGCGAUCGCGAUGAACGCAAGCAAGGAGCAGCUGGUUUCAGGUUUGGCUCACUUGGAAUGCGACGCGGGGUCCGGGAAGUUGCGGAUGCAUUGCCAGGACUGGUGGGUUGAGGAUCUUUCUGCUCUAAGAAUUGACUAUUAUCAGCGAGUGAUCGCCGCGAUGAGGAGAAGUGGCGUGAGACCGGAGAGCAUAGGCACUUCAAUCGUGCACUAUGCUCAAACAGCUCUCAAGGGCAUCGAAAGGCGUCACGUGUGGGAUUCCGGCCCACUUGUCGGUGACAACCAAAGGGUGGUUGUGGAAACCCUCAUCAACCUGAUGGCAACCGAGAAGAUCACAGCUGUUACCCUGUCAUUCUUGUUCGGCAUGCUCAGAAUGGCGAUAGAGGUUGAUGCAGGACUAGACUACAGGAUUGAAGUCGAGAAAAGGAUCGGUCUCCAUCUUGAGAUGGCAUCACUUGAUGAUCUUCUCAUCCCGUCCAUGCAAACGAGCGAGUCCAUGUUUGACGUCGACACGGUCCAUCGCAUUUUGGUGAACUUCUUGCAAAGGAUUGAGGAAGAUGACUCGGGAGACUUGUCACCUUGCGGAUACGAGUCCGACGGACUCAAGUCUCCGAGCCACGGCUCGGUGCUCAAGGUCGGAAGGCUAAUGGACGGUUAUCUUGCAGAAAUUGCACCAGAUCCUUAUCUGAAACUGCAGAAGUUCAUGACCCUCAUCGAACUGUUGCCGGAUUACGCUCGCAUUGUUGAUGAUGGACUCUACCGAGCCAUCGACAUAUACCUAAAGGCACACCCAUCUCUGAUGGAAUCCGAGUGCAAGAAGCUGUGCAAGCUGAUCGACUGCCAGAAGCUGUCCCAGGACGCGUCGAGCCACGCGGCGCAGAACGACCGGCUCCCGAUGCAGAUGGUGGUGCGCGUGCUCUACUUCGAGCAGCUCCGCCUCAAGUCGUCCUUCUCGGGCGGCCACUCCGGCGGCGGCGGCGAGUACUGCUCCUUCUCCCAGCGGAUCACCAUGCCGAUCAGCGGGAGCGGCGUGCCGAGCUCGUGCGUGUCGCCCCGGGCCGCCGGCGCGGCCGACAGCUACGCGUCGCUGCGGCGGGAGAACCGGGAGCUGAAGCUGGAGGUGUCGCGGAUGCGGGUGCGGCUGACGGAGCUGGAGCGGGAGCAGGGGAUGAUGAAGCAGGGGAUGCGGGACGGCCGCCCGGGGGAGCACGGCCGCGCCUUCUUCGCGUCGAUAUCGAGGGGGAUCGGGCGGAUGGCCAUGUUCGGCCCGGCCGGGGAGAGGAGGAAGAAGAGCUCCAGGGCGACGGCGAGCUCGCAGUGCUCCGAAGGGAAGAGCCGGAGGAGGAAGAAACCAUCGGUCACGUAUGCGUAG
rnacentral:rRNA from 1 species